rnacentral:lncRNA from 1 species
UGGCUCCUCUCGCUCUCUUACGUUUGCAGAUAAAGGAAAAAAAGUAUAUCGUCUUUAUUACAAAAACAAGAUAUGGUUUGGAAAAUUCAAUAAUCAUUCAUUUGACUAGGUGUUUAAUUCGAUUGAACUUGUAAAGAGCUCUAGAUCCCCAUUUCGAAUUUGACAUUCAAACAGAAAAUACUUUUAAGCCAAAAUUUUAUAUUUGAAAAAAGAAUAGAUCUCCAAUUCAAA